rnacentral:rRNA from 1 species
ACCUACGGGGGGCAGCAGUAGGGAAUUUUCGUCAAUGGGCGCAAGCCUGAACGAGCAAUGCCGCGUGAACGAGGAAGGUCUUCGGAUCGUGAAGUUCUGUUGAAGGGGAAAAAGAGCGGAGAGAGGAAAUGGUCUCCGAUUGAUAUUACCCUUCGAGGAAGUCACGGCUAACUACGUGCCAGCAGCCGCGGUAAUACGUAGGUGGCGAGCGUUAUCCGGAAUGAUUGGGCGUAAAGGGUGCGUAGGCGGCCUGCUAAGUCUGGAGUGAAAGGUACCGGCUCAACCGGUACAGGCUCUGGAAACUG